rnacentral:rRNA from 1 species
CCUACGGGUGGCUGCAGUGGGGAAUAUUGGACAAUGGGCGAAAGCCUGAUCCAGCCAUGCCGCGUGUGUGAAGAAGGCCUUCGGGUUGUAAAGCACUUUCAGUGGGGAAGAAAGCCUUGGGGCUAAUACCCUCGAGGAAGGACAUCACCCACAGAAGAAGCACCGGCUAACUCCGUGCCAGCAGCCGCGGUAAUACGGAGGGUGCGAGCGUUAAUCGGAAUUACUGGGCGUAAAGCGCGCGUAGGCGGUCUGAUAAGCCGGUUGUGAAAGCCCCGGGCUCAACCUGGGAACGGCAUCCAGAACUGUCAGGCUAGAGUGCAGGAGAGGAAGGUAGAAUUCCCGGUGUAGCGGUGAAAUGCGUAGAGAUCGGGAGGAAUACCAGUGGCGAAGGCGGCCUUCUGGACUGACACUGACGCUGAGGUGCGAAAGCGUGGGUAGCAAACAGGAUUAGAUACCCCGGUAGUC